UACAGAGGUGGCAAGCGUUGUUCGGAAUUACUGGGCGUAAAGGGCGCGUAGGCGGCCAUCUAAGUCAGACGUGAAAUCCCCCGGCUUAACCUGGGAACUGCGUCUGAUACUGGAAGGCUUGAGUAUGGGAGAGGGAUGCGGAAUUCCAGGUGUAGCGGUGAAAUGCGUAGAUAUCUGGAGGAACACCGGUGGCGAAGGCGGCAUCCUGGACCGGCAUUGACGCUGAGGAGCGAAAGCCAGGGGAGCAAACGGG
rnacentral:rRNA from 1 species